rnacentral:lncRNA from 1 species
GGUCUUGUGGGCAGGGUGAGGGCCAGAGAGCCCUCGCCUUCGAGGAGGCCACAAUCCCAGCCUUCAGGACACCCCCUUUCCCCGGGUUGAGGUCCACCUCUGGCGGAGGAGGCAGGAGAGGAGGACCCUGGACAUAUGAAAGACCCCGUCUCCUCUCAAGCUGCCCACCGACUUCCACGGUGCCCCGGGCUCAGCCAAGGUGAACUCGAAUUGGAAGAAAGCCAUGGUGAGACCACUCGCUUUUAGAACAGACAACUCAGGCUCAGCAAAGAGGAAGACAGGACGUGUCCUCAACUCAACCCACCCCUUUUACAAAUGAGAGCCGUGUGACUGCAGCCUGGAACUCAGGGUGUCUAAAACUCAUAGCCCCACUUCAGUGAAUCAUGACUAUGAUGUUUCCAGAGAAAGGAUGGCGCUGGGGAAAUGAUGUAAGUGAGGAAGGAGGGUGCUGCCCGUCACCCAUCUCCUCAGCCCCGUGGGACCCUGAGUCAGCAGAGCCCAGCUCCCCGUCUAGCCUCCUGGGGUGCUCAGAGCCCAGGCUGAGCCCAUGGCAAGAGGUCAAGGGCAGAGGGAGGGUCUGGGGGAGUCUGGAGAGCAGCUAGCCUGUCUUGGGCUGAUCCUCACCAUCCCUGCUCCGUCCCUGAACCCAGGAGCGCUGGUUUAAAAAGGUUCCAGCAGGGCAGCAGGUCAGGGGGGUGUGGUUCUGGCACAAACAGGGGAGGAGGUGGACAUGGAGAAACCAGAUCGGACGCUGCUGCCUUAAUUCGGAUCUGAUUUGCCUAAGUGAAACUGAAAAAUUUGG